AAGAAGAACAAAGAUCAGCAGCGUAACAUUAACCAGACAUCAGUCCCAAAUCAAUCUGCACAAUCUCAACCGGAAAACUCUCCUCUACAAUCUGCAGAUUCUGAUCACAUUUAUGACGACGUGACUGAAGUCAAUAAGAGAGACAAAGAUGAUCCAGAGCCCUUGGCAGAUGUCACAUAUUCUGAGAGUCACUGUUCAGAAAAAGAAAAAGAUGGACAAAGGUAAUACUAAGGCAGAGUCAAAUAAUGUGACAUACUCAGAAGUCGGAAAAAGAGGAAAGAAAUGCAAAAGUAAAGAUAUUAAUCCUGCAGGACCCAGCGCAUUUGACUUAACGCGAAAGAUCAAUAUACAGGACAAGAAGAAAACCAAAGGCA